GACGAACGCUGGCGGCGUGCUUAACACAUGCAAGUCGAGCGGUAAGGCCUUUCGGGGUACACGAGCGGCGAACGGGUGAGUAACACGUGGGUGAUCUGCCCUGCACUUCGGGAUAAGCCUGGGAAACUGGGUCUAAUACCGGAUAUGACCUCCUAUCGCAUGGUGGGUGGUGGAAAGAUUUAUCGGUGCAGGAUGGGCCCGCGGCCUAUCAGCUUGUUGGUGGGGUAAUGGCCUACCAAGGCGACGACGGGUAGCCGACCUGAGAGGGUGACCGGCCACACUGGGACUGAGACACGGCCCAGACUCCUUCGGGAGGCAGCAGUGGGGAAUAUUGCACAAUGGGCGAAAGCCUGAUGCAGCGACGCCGCGUGAGGGAUGACGGCCUUCGGGUUGUAAACCUCUUUCAGCAGGGACGAAGCGCAAGUGACGGUACCUGCAGAAGAAGCACCGGCUAACUACGUG
rnacentral:rRNA from 1 species